AUUGAACGCUGGCGGCAGGCCUAACACAUGCAAGUCGAGCGGUAGCACAGGGAGCUUGCUCCUGGGUGACGAGCGGCGGACGGGUGAGUAAUGUCUGGGAAACUGCCUGAUGGAGGGGGAUAACUACUGGAAACGGUAGCUAAUACCGCAUAACGUCUUCGGACCAAAGAGGGGGACCUUCGGGCCUCUUGCCAUCAGAUGUGCCCAGAUGGGAUUAGCUAGUAGGUGAGGUAAUGGCUCACCUAGGCGACGAUCCCUAGCUGGUCUGAGAGGAUGACCAGCCACACUGGAACUGAGACACGGUCCAGACUCCUACGGGAGGCAGCAGUGGGGAAUAUUGCACAAUGGGCGCAAGCCUGAUGCAGCCAUGCCGCGUGUAUGAAGAAGGCCUUCGGGUUGUAAAGUACUUUCAGCGAGGAGGAAGGCAUUGUGGUUAAUAACCGCAGUGAUUGACGUUACUCGCAGAAGAAGCACCGGCUAACUCCGUGCCAGCAGCCGCGGUAAUACGGAGGGUGCAAGCGUUAAUCGGAAUUACUGGGCGUAAAGCGCACGCAGGCGGUCUGUCAAGUCGGAUGUGAAAUCCCCGGGCUCAACCUGGGAACUGCAUUCGAAACUGGCAGGCUAGAGUCUUGUAGAGGGGGGUAGAAUUCCAGGUGUAGCGGUGAAAUGCGUAGAGAUCUGGAGGAAUACCGGUGGCGAAGGCGGCCCCCUGGACAAAGACUGACGCUCA
rnacentral:rRNA from 1 species